rnacentral:rRNA from 1 species
UACGGAGGGUGCAAACGUUGCUCGGAAUUAUUGGGCGUAAAGCGCACGUAGGCGGUUCGGUAAGUCGGAUGUGAAAUCCCUCGGCUCAACCGAGGAAGGGCAUCCGAAACUGCCGGGCUUGAGUACGGAAGAGGGUCUCGGAAUUCCCGGUGUAGAGGUGAAAUUCGUAGAUAUCGGGAGGAACACCAGUGGCGAAGGCGGAGACCUGGGCCGAUGCUGACGCUGAGGUGCGAAAGCGUGGGGAGCAAACAGG